rnacentral:rRNA from 1 species
GGGGAAUAUUGCACAAUGGGCGCAAGCCUGAUGCAGCCAUGCCGCGUGUAUGAAGAAGGCCUUCGGGUUGUAAAGUACUUUCAGCGAGGAGGAAGGCAUUAAGGUUAAUAACCUUAGUGAUUGACGUUACUCGCAGAAGAAGCACCGGCUAACUCCGUGCCAGCAGCCGCGGUAAUACGGAGGGUGCAAGCGUUAAUCGGAAUUACUGGGCGUAAAGCGCACGCAGGCGGUCUGUCAAGUCGGAUGUGAAAUCCCCGGGCUCAACCUGGGAACUGCAUUCGAAGCUGGCAGGCUAGAGUCUUGUAGAGGGGGGUAGAAUUCCAGGUGUAGCGGUGGAAUGUGUAGAGAUCUGGAGGAAUACCGGUGGCGAAGGCGGCCCCCUGGACAAAGACUGACGCUCAGGUGCGAAAGCGUGGGGAGCAAAC